rnacentral:rRNA from 1 species
UGGCGGCGUGCUUAACACAUGCAAGUCGAGCGAGAACGCUCCUUCGGGAGCAAGUACAGCGGCGAACGAGUGAGUAACACGUGGGCAACCUGCCCAAGAGAGCGGGACAACUCGGGGAUACUCGAGCUAAUACCGCAUAAUGCGUCAUGUCACAAGGCGUGACGCCAAAAGGUAGCUUCGGCCUCCGCUCUUGGAUGGGCCCGCGGCGCAUUAGCUUGUUGGUGGGGUAACGGCCUACCAAGGCGACGAUGCGUAGCUGGUCUGAGAGGACGAUCAGCCACACUGGGACUGAGACACGGCCCAGACUCCUACGGGAGGCAGCAGUGGGGAAUCUUGCGCAAUGGGCGAAAGCCUGACGCAGCAACGCCGCGUGAGGGAAGACGGCUUUCGGGUUGUAAACCUCUUUCAGGAGGGACGAAGCUUCCGAGGUUAAUAGCCUACGGGGUGACGGUACCUCCAGAAGAAGCCCCGGCUAACUACGUGCCAGCAGCCGCGGUAAUACGUAGGGGGCAAGCGUUGUCCGGAAUCAUUGGGCGUAAAGCGCGUGUAGGUGGCUUGGUAAGUCCGGUGUGAAACCUUGGGGCUCAACCCUAAGCCUGCAUCGGAUACUGCCUCGCUCGAGUUCGGGAGGGGAGAGCGGAAUUCCUAGUGUAGCGGUGAAAUGCGCAGAUAUUAGGAAGAACACCGGUGGCGAAGGCGGCUCUCUGGAACGAUACUGACACUGAGACGCGAAAGCGUGGG